UCUGCAGAUAGGAAGCCUGAGACUCAGGGAGCUUCAGUUUUGAAGUUCCCUGAGGACAGGGACAGGGUGUUGAUAAUAAGCAGAGAACAUUCAUCGUGCCAUGGUUCUGAGUGCAUUACUGAGUUGACCCUCUGUAAUUCUCAAAACACCCUUAUGAGGUGCCUACCCUGGGAUUCUCAUUUUACAGAUGAAGAAACAGGACGGGCCAGAGAGAGAGGAGGAGGAGCAUAGGGAGAGAGACAAG